CAGCCGCCGCGGUAAUACGGAGGGUGCAAGCGUUAAUCGGAAUUACUGGGCGUAAAGCGUGCGUAGGUGGUGGUUUAAGUCCGUUGUGAAAGCCCUGGGCUCAACCUGGGAAUUGCAGUGGAUACUGGGUCACUAGAGUGUGGUAGAGGAUAGUGGGAUUUCCGGUGUAGCAGUGAAAUGCGUAGAGAUCGGAAGGAACAUCUGUGGCGAAGGCGACUAUCUGGGCCAACACUGACACUGAGGCACGAAAGCGUGGGGAGCAAACAGGAUUAGAUACCCCUGUAGUCCCUGUCUCUUAUAC
rnacentral:rRNA from 1 species